rnacentral:rRNA from 1 species
UGAGGAAUAUUGGUCAAUGGGCGUAAGCCUGAACCAGCCAAGUAGCGUGCAGGAUGACGGCCCUAUGGGUUGUAAACUGCUUUUGUAUGGGGAUAAAGUCAAUCACGUGUGAUUGUUUGCAGGUACCAUACGAAUAAGGACCGGCUAAUUCCGUGCCAGCAGCCGCGGUAAUACGGAAGGUCCGGGCGUUAUCCGGAUUUAUUGGGUUUAAAGGGAGCGUAGGCCGGAGAUUAAGUGUGUUGUGAAAUGUAGACGCUCAACGUCUGACUUGCAGCGCAUACUGGUUUCCUUGAGUACGCACAACGUUGGCGGAAUUCGUCGUGUAGCGGUGAAAUGCUUAGAUAUGACGAAGAACUCCGAUUGCGAAGGCAGCUGACGGGAGCGCAACUGACGCUUAAGCUCGAAGGUGCGGGUAUCGAACAGGAUUAGAUACCCUGGUAGUCCGCACAGUAAACGAUGGAUGCCCGCUGUUGGUACCUGGUAUCAGCGGCUAAGCGAAAGCAUUAAGCAUCCCACCUGGGGAGUACGCCGGCAACGGUG